rnacentral:misc_RNA from 1 species
GAUGAAGAACGCAGCGAAAUGCGAUAAGUAAUGUGAAUUGCAGAAUUCAGUGAAUCAUCGAAUCUUUGAACGCACAUUGCGCCCGCCAGUAUUCUGGCGGGCAUGCCUGUUCGAGCGUCAUUUCAACCAUCAAGCCCCCGGCUUGUGUUGGGGACCUGCGGCUGCCGCAGGCCCUGAAAACCAGUGGAGGGCUCGCUAGUCACUCCGAGCGUAGUAAUACAUCUCGCUCAGGGCGUGCUGCGGGUUCCGGCCGUUAAAAAAGCCUUAUUUACCCAAGGUUGACCUCGGAUCAGGUAGGAAGACCCGCUGAACUUAAGCAUAUCAAUAAGCGGAGGA